GGAGGCUACAGUUCUGUCUCCUCACCACAGGAAGGGAGCCGCAAGGGCCAAGAGACCCUGGAACGGGUUGGAAAGGGGAUAACUGUUGAGGGAUAAAGGGGACUGCAUGGUGGCACUGUAAAAUAAAGCACAAGGGUGAAACACCAGAAGAAGGCAUGCGGGUUCUUAUUUUACCAGCCUAAGCACAGAGUGAGAAAGCAGAAACCUGUGCGGACCCUGUGACAGGAACCACUAGCUUUAUAUCCAUUUGUGUAUAUGUAGGGUUUACAAUUUGGUCUCCAGAGAUGAACUGAUAUGUGCAGUUAAUUCUGCUACCUAGACUAACACCCUUUAUAUUUUCUUUACAAGAGCAUUGUCCAAACUGCAUUAAGUUAGCACAGACUUCUUAAUACAGUCUUGCAAAAUUCUUCUUGUCCCUGGACCCAAAUGAGUAGUUUCUCUGAUGGCUGAAUGAAGGUUUUAGCUUUUAAUUAAUAUUAUCCUCUUUGUAAAGACGGCUACCGUCUCAAGGUGAUCAUGGAAGGGGAGGGUGUGCUCGAGUUUCACUCCAAGGGUCCUCAGACAGUGAGAGAGGGAGGACAGAAAACCAGGAAAAUCUGCAUUUCAGCAAACAGAGACCCCUGCCUCAUUCAGAGCACAGAAUGGAAGCAGAAGGGGAAGAAUUAAGAUUGUACAGGAAUGAAACUGUUGACCUUAAAAACCUUCCAUAUUGUUUUUAAAUGAAAGAGCCUGCAUAUUCAAGAACACAGGCUGCUGAAACCACAUCAUACUGAUGCUCUGCAUUUGGUUCUCAUUGGAUACAGAAGAAGAAUCAAGAUUUCCUUCCUCAUCAAACUCUGCCAUGAGAUUGGCCCAAACUACCUGAGGGACUAUUUCAUUCUCUGAAGUCAUGAGCUCCCACUGGGUGCAAAGUGCUCCACUGGAACCAAAGAACUGUCAAUCUCAAGAGUUAGACUGUGUAUACUGGACAUAGGCAGAGCUUCCUUGGCAAUUGGCCUGUAUCUGUCGAACUCAUUGCUGGAAUAUCUCUGAAUCACUACAAAUCUCACUGUCUUCAGAUCAAAAUGUCUUUUUCUUGCAUUGUUUGUUUGUAAAACAAUUAUUUAGUAAAUAAAAUGUUUGGGUAUUGAAUACCAAAGCUUUGUGGAUAGUUCAAGUCUUCAUAAAAGCAUUGUGUCAUUUAGAUCCACAUAUACCGGUAACUCAGACUUUCAAACUCUGCUUCU